GAUCUUCUCCUUCAUGGGAGAUGAUUGAAAGAUGGUUUCGGCUAUCACUUACAGAUGGGCCCGCGGUGCAUUAGCUAGUUGGUGAGGUAACGGCUCACCAAGGCAACGAUGCAUAGCCGACCUGAGAGGGUGAUCGGCCACACUGGGACUGAGACACGGCCCAGACUCCUACGGGAGGCAGCAGUAGGGAAUCUUCCGCAAUGGACGAAAGUCUGACGGAGCAACGCCGCGUGAGUGAUGAAGGCUUUCGGGUCGUAAAACUCUGUUGUUAGGGAAGAACAAGUACAAGAGUAACUGCUCGUACCUUGACGGUACCUAACCAGAAAGCCACGGCUAACUACGUGCCAGCAGCCGCGGUAAUACGUAGGUGGCAAGCGUUAUCCGGAAUUAUUGGGCGUAAAGCGCGCGCAGGCGGUUUCUUAAGUCUGAUGUGAAAGCCCACGGCUCAACCGUGGAGGGUCAUUGGAAACUGGGGAACUUGAGUGCAGAAGAGAAAAGCGGAAUUCCACGUGUAGCGGUGAAAUGCGUAGAGAUGUGGAGGAACACCAGUGGCGAAAGCGGCUUUUUGGUCUGUAACUGACGCU
rnacentral:rRNA from 2 species